GAUUAGGCUUAGGAACAUGGUCUGAUUAUUUCCUAUUGAAUUUGAUGCUGAUUUAAUCUUUUGAAUCAAUGAAGCGAUCGAAAACAUGAUUAUAAGUCGAAGAUUCAUGGGAUGGAACACAUAUAUGAAAAUGAUCAUGGAUCGCCGGCGAACAAUUGGGAAAUUGAAUCUCGAACCACGGAUAGAAUUUGGACAUUGUCUUGGAACAUGGACCGCGAUUAUGGAUUUAUUUAUGUCAAACGGGACAAUUAACGUUUUAUGGCGCAAUUUGGAUGUGAAAUAUGCAUGUAUUUUAUUAUUUAAAAUUUUUAAUAAAUUAAUAUUUCAAUAAAAUCAAUUAAAUUUCAA